GAGAGCCGUGUGAUGGGUGACUAUCCAGCACGGUUCGGAGAGCACUUUUAGUCUUUGUUGGUGAAUGGAAGCCCCCCUAUCAAGCAAAAAAUAAGCGGCUCUUUCUACGGCGGGGUCACUAUUGACUCUAU
rfam:Arabidopsis thaliana mitochondrial genome